UUCGCAAUGCCCGAAAGGGUGACGAAGCGACGCCGCGUGGGUGAGGAAGGCCCUCGGGUUGUAAAGCCCUGUCAGGAGUUAAGAAAUGUAAGUGCGCUAAUAUCGCAUUUACUUGACAAAGGCUCCAAAGGAAGCCACGGCUAACUCUGUGCCAGCAGCCGCGGUAAUACAGAGGUGGCAAGCGUUGUUCGGAAUUACUGGGCAUAAAGCGCACGUAGGCGGCAAUGUAAGUCAGGUGUGAAAUCCCUCGGCCUAACCGAGGAAUUGCGCUUGAUACUGUGUUGCUUGAGGGCAGGAGGGGAGCGUGGAAUUCCUGGUGGAGCGGUGAAAUGCGUUGAUAUCAGGAGGAACACCGGCGGCGAAGGCGACGCUCUGGCCUGCUUCUGACGCUGAGUGUGCGAAAGCCAGGGGAGCAAACGGGAUUAGAUACCCCGGUAGUCCUGGCCGUAAACGAUGGGCACUAAGUAGAGGGGUUUU
rnacentral:rRNA from 1 species